AGUCGACGAUUAAGCACCUUCGGGUGUGUAUAGAGUGGCGAACGGGUGAGUAACACGUGACCAACCUGCCUCUUACAUUGGGACAACCAAAAGAAAUUCUGGCUAAUACCAAAUACUCCGCACAUAUCACAUGAUGUAUGCGGGAAAGCUUUUGCGGUAAGAGAUGGGGUCGCGGCCCAUUAGGUAGACGGCGGGGUAGAAGCCCACCGUGCCGAUGAUGGGUAGCCGGGUUGAGAGACCGACCGGCCACAUUGGGACUGAGAUACGGCCCAGACUCCUACGGGAGGCAGCAGUGGGGAAUAUUGCGCAAUGGGGGAAACCCUGACGCAGCAACGCCGCGUGCGGGAUGAAGGCCUUCGGGUUGUGAACCGCUUUCAGCAGGGAAGACAUCGACGGUACCUGCAGAAGAAGCCCCGGCUAACUACGUGCCAGCAGCCGCGGUAAUACGUAGGGGGCGAGCGUUAUCCGGAUUCAUUGGGCGUAAAGCGCGCGCAGGCGGUUGCUCAAGCGGAACCUCUAAUCUCGGGGCUUAACCUCGAGCCGGGUUCCGAACUGGACGACUCGAGUGCGGUAGAGGCAGAUGGAAUUCCCGGUGUAGCGGUGGAAUGCGCAGAUAUCGGGAAGAACACCAACGGCGAAGGCAGUCUGCUGGGCCGUCACUGACGCUGAGGCGCGAAAGCUGGGGGAGCGAACAGGAUUAGAUACCCUGGUAGUCCCAGCCGUAAACGAUGAGCGCUGGGUGUGGGAGAUUACAUCUUCCGUGCCGAAGCUAACGCAUUAAGCGCUCCGCCUGGGGAGUACGGCCGCAAGGCUAAAACUCAAAGGAAUUGACGGGGGCCCG
rnacentral:rRNA from 1 species